rnacentral:rRNA from 1 species
GAUGAACGCUGGCGGCGUGCCUAAUACAUGCAAGUCGAGCGAACAGACGAGGAGCUUGCUCCUCUGACGUUAGCGGCGGACGGGUGAGUAACACGUGGAUAACCUACCUAUAAGACUGGGAUAACUUCGGGAAACCGGAGCUAAUACCGGAUAAUAUAUUGAACCGCAUGGUUCAAUAGUGAAAGACGGUUUUGCUGUCACUUAUAGAUGGAUCCGCGCCGCAUUAGCUAGUUGGUAGGGUAAAGGCUUACCAAGGCAACGAUGGGUAGCCGACCUGAGAGGGUGGUCGGCCACACUGGAACUGAGACACGGUCCAGACUCCUACGGGAGGCAGCAGUAGGGAAUCUUCCGCAAAGGGCGAAAGCCUGACGGAGCAACGCCGCGUGAGUGAUGAAGGUCUUCGGAUCGUAAAACUCUGUUAUUAGGGAAGAACAAAUGUGUAAGUAACUAUGCACGUCUUGACGGUACCUAAUCAGAAAGCCACGGCUAACUACGUG